rnacentral:lncRNA from 1 species
CCUGAGGACGCUUUCCUUGACUGUACCUUUAACAGGAAACUACCUUUAAUAAGCAGCCAUUUGAAUUAGGUUCCACUCACUAAAUCUAGUCAGUCUCCCGGGGACCUCAGACUAAUCAGAGACGGUGUCUCAAGGCUCAGUUAUUCAUAUGGUAGACUCCAGAUUUAUGCCUCCACUGGUUGGGGUGAGGUCUGUGGAGAUAAUUUCAAUAUAACUGAGAGGAAUGUGGCCUGUCAUCAGCUGGGGUAGUACUCCUCAUCAUUGAACAAUGAUACCAUCAACAGUUAUGGUAGUGAUGUUGGUUCUGUUUCUAUAUCGGAGGUCAAUUGCUAUGGUAACAGUGAGUACCUCCAUUUGUUGAGGUGUUCUUAUAAGAAAGGUUUUCACACCUGCCAACAGAACUUUGUCACUUUAUACUGCAACACCACUAAUAAUCCUCCUUAUGACGGUCAAUUGAGAUUAUUGUAUGGGACCACUUCAUCAAACGGUCUGGUACAGGUCUAUUGUAGCGGCCAGUGGGGGACAGUCUGUGGCCGGUACUUCACUCCUGAUGCUGCCCACCUUGUCUGUAGACAGCUGGGAUACACCUCGGCUAAGUCUUAUAGUAACGGAACCUUGUAAGUG